rnacentral:rRNA from 1 species
UUCCUACGGGGGGCAGCAGUGAGGAAUAUUGGUCAAUGGACGAGAGUCUGAACCAGCCAAGUAGCGUGAAGGAUGACUGCCCUAUGGGUUGUAAACUUCUUUUAUAUGGGAAUAAAGUUUUCCACGUGUGGAAUUUUGUAUGUACCAUAUGAAUAAGGAUCGGCUAACUCCGUGCCAGCAGCCGCGGUAAUACGUAGGAUCCGAGCGUUAUCCGGAUUUAUUGGGUUUAAAGGGAGCGUAGAUGGGUUGUUAAGUCAGUUGUGAAAGUUUGCGGCUCAACCGUAAAAUUGCAAUUGAUACUGGCG